AGUGAACGCUGGCGGUAGGCCUAACACAUGCAAGUCGAACGGCAGCACAGUAAGAGCUUGCUCUUACGGGUGGCGAGUGGCGGACGGGUGAGGAAUACAUCGGAAUCUACUUUUUCGUGGGGGAUAACGUAGGGAAACUUACGCUAAUACCGCAUACGACCUACGGGUGAAAGCAGGGGAUCUUCGGACCUUGCGCGAUUGAAUGAGCCGAUGUCGGAUUAGCUAGUUGGCGGGGCAAAGGCCCACCAAGGCGACGAUCCGUAGCUGGUCUGAGAGGAUGAUCAGCCACACUGGAACUGAGACACGGUCCAGACUCCUACGGGAGGCAGCAGUGGGGAAUAUUGGACAAUGGGCGCAAGCCUGAUCCAGCCAUACCGCGUGGGUGAAGAAGGCCUUCGGGUUGUAAAGCCCUUUUGUUGGGAAAGAAAAGCAGCAGGUUAAUACCCCGCUGUUCCGACGGUACCCAAAGAAUAAGCACCGGCUAACUUCGUG
rnacentral:rRNA from 1 species